AUGUCUCAAAUGUCCACUUGCAGUUCUCCACCCCCAAAUGGUAUUAAUUGUGACAUAAAUUGUGUUUGCCAAAUGAUAAUGACAUCAACAAAUUUACUAAUAGGUAGCAAGUUGUUCCACCAACAGAGAAGAGAAAACAUGAAGGUAGAAACAUAUUUUCACCUGAAACUUCUUUUACAAAUGAAAAGGCUAAUUGAAAUUAUGCACUGCAUUGGCCAAGAACUUUAAAACCUGGAUGCUGUAUACUACUUUUGGAUUUUCAGAAAAAUUAAAAGCCUAACAGGUAAGGAUAUGUUGAAAUAGUCUCACCCUAAUGCCUUCACACUUAGGUUAUCCUGCUGAUGCUGUCAGUUACUUAAGGACUUAAUAGAAACCGGAUGUGCUGCCCUUUUUCUGGCUUCCUCUAACCUGUGUCCUAAAGCAGCUACUUGGCAGAGAUAAUUGAUUAACCCUUUCUUUCCCUUUGACCCUCACAUUCUGAUCCUGCUCAUUCUACUUUCUAGACAUUUAUUGAUUCCCUUCCCUCUUUACUAUUUCUACUGCCAUUUCCAUUUUCUUAAUCAGAAUCUCACCUUAAUGACACAGUAGAUGGAGUCUUCCUGCCUCUCCACACACUUCCCUCCAAUAAAAUCUCUUCUUGCUUCCAGAGCGAUCUUUUCAACAAGAAAAGUCUGAUCUAUAUCUCCCCCUUCAUUAAAUUCCAUGCUUAGUCUCUUUCUGCCCUCAAAAUAAGACCUAAACACAUAACUUUACACAGGACCUUCCACUAUCUGGUUUUGGCUUUCACUCUAGAUUAAUCUCCUGACGCUCUUGUGUCAAGCUUUGUAUUAGAUGCCUAUUGAUGUUAUAAGUCCCUGCUCUAUGCUACAAUGAAAUCCCAAGCUGGAGAUAUGUUGUAAACACCUUCUAAAUAUUCUCCUUUUUAUGAAUAAUUCAUCUACAUAUUUCAAGACUAAACAAAGAUAUGUAUAUCCAAGGAUGACUCCUUAUCUGUUCUUCCAGACUUUGGCAAGUGUCUUUCACCCUGUGAAUAUCUGUAUCACUGCAUUAAACACUAUAAAAGAGUGGCUCGUACCUUGUGUGUUUCCUUCACUAGCUGGUAUAGUCUUCAG
rnacentral:lncRNA from 1 species